rnacentral:lncRNA from 1 species
GUUUUGUUUAAAAGAAACGAGAGGAGAUGAGAGGAAUGAAAAGGAGAGAGGGGGAGAAAAAAAAAAAAAAAUCAGUCUCAAUUUUAUUAUUUAAUUGAGAUCUUAUUGUCUUACAUUAAAAUGUAAGAUACAUCUUAAACAAUGACAAAUAAAUCAACAAUAUCGCCCUCUUCACUCGGUUGCCCACUUAUUUUCUUUAAAUGUGCAAUUAAUUUCCAUCCAUUCGAUUUUCACUUGUCUAAUCUAAGGAACCAUGUUUACUAAAUGUAUUUUACAUUACUAUGUUAGAUAAUAAGAUCCUAUUUAAUUUGACAUUAAAUUUAUCUUAUCUCUUCUGAUUUUUUUUCCACUCGUCAUCUCUUCUCUCCUGGAUUUCCAUUUCUUUAUAUAAAAAUCAAACAUAUCACUAGAGGAAAAAAGUACGGAACACCAUUCAAAUAUUCAAUCAUAAACAAAGUCAAGUAAUCAACCAAUGUUAGCGUACUGUACUAAUUCUGGUCACGACGGGACUGGAUUGUAAUUAAGACGAGCACCAUGUGCAAAAAUGUCAUUUACUAACAAGGAGAGCCCUCACCCAGUCACCCUUACACACUCGUCAGCACAAAUUUCCACACAAGCCAUCUUUUUUUUUUUUUUGUUUUCCUUUUCCCUUUUAUAGCGGAUAUACCACAAUUUUUUCUGGUCAGGGAUUAUUUUUAUUUAUUUUUUGAAAUUAGAGAUUAAUUAAUUUGUUUGUUUGGCUUCAUUUUAAUUAUUAUAAUUGUAUUUUAAAAGGAGUCGAAACAGCCCCACAAAUAAACUCUGCAUAUAGACCACUUCAGAAUUGAAGAGAGAGAGAGAGAAAAAUCGAAAAGGCUUUGGCAUUUGGCAAUCUCAAAAUCCACCUCGCGAGGGCAGAGCAGAACAGAGCAGAGCAGAGCAUCACCCGCACCACCAAAAUAGCUCCCAUUAUUACUUGGCGUCUUCAAAAGCGUUACGUGUUAGAUGUAGUAGAGUGGCAGCAUAUGAACCAGAAUAUUAAUUGAUGUUAACGAAAUCGAAAUCGAAAUCGAAUGCUACUCUCAUUCUCACUCUCACUCUAACUCGUUUUCAAAAACUAUCCCUAUCUCUCUCUCCACGGUUCUUUGAAACACGAUAAGACAGAGUUAGAGAGUGCGUUGAGAUUCUUCACUUCAUCUGGGUUUUCUUGAUUUUUGUUUUUUUUUUCUCUGCUUUUGGGUUAAUAAAAAUGGCGUCAUCUUGUUCGUUCACAUCUCCGCUGUGCACGUGGCUGGUGGCGGCUUGCAUGUCCUUCACGUGCGGCAGCCGGGACCCACACCAACCGCCAUCCGUGCUACGUCGCUACACCAACAACAAGAGAGAAGGACUCUCAGCGGCAAGGAGGAGGAAACUUUCGGCGAAAUGUGGUGUUGGUGGUGAAGUUGUAAACGGCAGCUUGGUCUCGUCGUUUAGUGGAUCUAGUCACAGCAUUCAGAGCCUAAUGGCUUCUUGCUUGCCCUUUGAGCCUUGCAACGAAUAUUACAGCUCCGUUUCUUCGCUUGGUUUCUUUGGUGACAAUGGUUUCUCUUCGUUUUUUGGAUCCAAUAAUAGUACUGCCACUCUUAAUCGAAGGCAACGGCGACUCAGACUCAAUCGAGUCACCCGUUCUGGUAACCUUUCAAUCUCUUUCGUGCCCAUUAGCUGCUGUAUUUUGAAUUCUUUACCGUGGAAUCUGGGUAAUGGGUAUUUUUUUUUUGUUAUUAAAAUAUGUUUUUAAAAAAUAAAAAGUAAGUAUUUAUGGGGCUUAAUUGGUGCUUGAAGCUGGAUGACUGUAUUAAUUCAGCACCUUUUGUUUUAUUCUAUUUUAUUGUGUUGUGCUGUGGAGUGUGCUGUGGAGAGAAGGCGUGUAGAAUGAUUGGAAUGCGUGAGUCUAAGAUCUUUCAUGUUGAUGAGAUUUUCGUUUCAAAUUUAAUAGUUGUGAAGUUAUUUACAUCGAGUGACCGUCAUGUGUGUUUGAUGAUUUUAGCUAUUGAUGGCUUAAUUUAUGAUGUACAGGUAGUUGGGUCAAGAAAUGUAGCUCAAUUUAAUUAUGUGUAAUUCUUUUUUUGUCUUUGUGACACACUACGUGUUUAUCUAAAACUCUCAGAAUUCUGUGUUUUAGAAGCAUGUCGAUGUCAAUUCAAGUAAGGUGCGCAUGUGAAUUAAUUGAACUUUUAGCUUUAGCAAGUUUAUUGGUGAUUCUCUCUCUCAGAGGUGGCUGGGUUUUGUCUAGGCUAGUGAUGAAUGGUUUCAUAGUAGUUUUUAUCCUAAUUAGAACUAUUUUUUGGCCUUCCUUUUGUGUGACUAGUAUUUGUGUUUAGCAGCUUUAAAUAUGUUGCUUGUAAGGCACAGUCUACUCUUUUUUUUGGGAAACAUAUUCUUUAUAAUUAUUGCUGGUUUAUUAGACUAGUAUCAAUUCAAUUUUGCUUGUAUCAUUUUCAAACUCUCGAAAUUAUCGAGUUACGAAGAUGCAGAGUAAUUGACUAAUUGCAUAGAUGGAAACUGAUGCAAAAUGAUGUUGCCAUGGAAAUAAGUUUUAAGUUUAAACUUUUUUUUUUGGGUGGGUAACUAAUCAAACUUGCAUCCCAUUUUCCAUAAAUUUGUCCAAAAUUUAGGGGAAGCCAUGGCUGUAGCUGUGCAACCUGAUGAGGAAGUCACAACAAAAAAGAAACCUCAUAUGAAGCAAAGGCGAGUCGUUGUGACAGGGAUGGGUUUGGUGAGUCCGCUUGGUCAUGAACCAGAUGUCUUCUACAAUAAUUUGCUCGAGGGUGUGAGUGGUAUAAGUGAGAUAGAGACUUUCGACUGUACUAGUUUUCCUACGGUAACUCUUAUUCGAGAUCUCUAUAUCCUUUUUUGUUGCUGGCUUUGAGAAUUCUUUUGUGGUAAUUGUUUUUCCCCUCUUCUCCUUCCCCAGAAAAUUGCUGCAGAGAUAAAAUCUUUCUCUACAGAUGGAUGGGUUGCACCAAAACUUUCCAAGAGGAUGGAUAAGUUUAUGCUGUACCUGCUUACGGCUGGCAAGAAGGCCUUGGCAGAUGGUGGAAUUACAGAAGAUGUCAUGAAUGAGUUAGAUAAAUCUAAAUGUGGAGUUUUGAUUGGCUCCGGAUUGGGUGGCAUGAAGGUAACCUUGUUUUUUCAUUGGUUUUAGCACAAUAUUUUAAUAGAAUUGGCAUGAACAUAACUUCAACCCUGCUAAAUAAGAUUUGUUUUAUUAACUUAUUACUUUGGAUAAUUUUUAUUUUGAACAGGUUUUUUAUGAUGCAAUUGAGGCUUUAAGGAUCUCCUACAAGAAGAUGAAUCCUUUUUGCGUACCUUUUGCUACUACAAAUAUGGGUUCUGCUAUGCUUGCAAUGGAUCUGGUCAGCUUAAAUUUAUUAUUUCCGCAAUAUUAAGCAUUCAAGAUAAGUCCUGAUAGGUACUAGAGUUUGGGCCUGAACCUUUUAACUGCCAAUCUCAGGGAUGGAUGGGCCCAAACUAUUCAAUAUCUACUGCUUGUGCUACAAGUAACUUCUGUAUACUGAAUGCGGCAAACCAUAUUAUUAGAGGCGAAGCUGUAAGCUUAUUGUAUUCUUUGUUUAUUCUCUUUUCUAGCUAAGUUGUACGAGUUCCUUAUGUUAUCUUAAUAUCUAUUUUUUAUUCAUUUUAUUUCCCAAAUUUGAUUCUGUAGAUUGAUUGUAAUAUUUCUGAAAUUAUUAUCUGAUUGCAGAAUGUGAUGCUUUGCGGUGGCUCAGAUGCUGCUGUUAUACCCAUUGGUAUAUCUUAAUCCCUUUCCUUUGUUACAUUCACCUCAUCCUUUGUUAAAACGGCGUGGUAAAGAAAUUUGCUUGUUUGUACUUUUGACUCUUGGUGCAGGGUUGGGAGGUUUUGUGGCAUGCAGAGCACUUUCACAGAGGAACAACGAUCCUACCAAAGCUUCUCGCCCUUGGGAUAUUGUAAUGUUAAAAUAAUUCUUGUCUUUUUUUGCUUUCUUCUUUCGUUUUGCUAUCUUUCAGGCCUUUCAAAAGAUUAUUUGAAAAAUGAUUUUGUAUAAACCAAGAAAAGUGGACUUAUUUGAUCCCGAUGCAUCAUUUUGUAGUGAACUUACUGGAAAAUAGAUUGUAAUAGUUAAUUGGUUGAAGGUGGUUAAUCAAAUAUACAAAUCCAUAUUUGUGACUUUACUAGUAAUUCUACUUAUCUGCAUCAUAGUUGUUACUUAUUCAGAAAUGCGGUGUUUUUCCAUUAAACAGAAUCGUGAUGGAUUUGUCAUGGGCGAAGGAGCUGGUGUUCUGCUUUUAGAAGAAUUAGAGCAUGCUAAGGUAAACAGUUUACCUCAAACGGGUCAGAUCCCUUCUUAUACUUGGCAUAUGCGUUACAUUUCUUGUCUGUCCAUUCAGGAGCACAUCUGUAGUUAAGUCGUAGGUGACCAUUUUUCUUGGCUCAACUUUAUUGUCAUUUGUCUUGUCAAUGUAGCUGGUUGCAAUUACAUUAAACUCCUCCUUUGUAUUAGUAUAUCCUUACUCUUUACUAAUUAUCAGAUAGCUUUUCCUAACCUUUUCCUUAGCUGCUUCAACCUCUUAUCUUCUGAAGAAACCUUUAUUAUUAUUAUUAUUAUUAUUGGCCAUUUUCUUGCUUGCUAAAUUAUGAUGCAAAAUAACUUUAAUGCAUUAAUGACCUUUGCAGAAAAGGGGUGCAAAAAUCUAUGCAGAAUUUCGUGGUGGAAGCUUCACCUCUGAUGCUUAUCAUAUGACUGAACCACACCCUGAUGGUAAAAGUGCCAUGUCUUUAAGACUUAAUUUUUCUGUGCAAAUGAAAUCAUUGAAUGGCUUUGGAAAAUUCUAUUUUAUUUCAAGGAAUAGAUAACUACUAUUAUGUAAUCUCAUAUGUAUCGAGAGUAAAAUGUGACAGUCUUAUGCUAGAGAACUCCCAAUAAAUACACACACCUCACUUAAUGCCCGAGUUCUAUGCUUGUGGUCACACUGCCAUUAUAUUGUGCUAGGUCAGAACUUCGAUCCUCAGCUGGAUUUACCUUUUCAAUCUGAACUUUCUUGGAAUCUGAUAGCUUCAUGUUUGCUGAUUAUAUGAUACUUGCCUUCCUGGUUAUUGCUUCCGUGAGACUAUGUUUUUCAUUUCUGGAUGCCAUUUUGGAAAAGAAUAAAUGUUGCUCUUGUCAUAACCUAGUAUAGUGAAUACAAAUAUCAGUAGGGGUUUCCCAGUACCAAAUGCGGCAUUUUCUUUUCUUGUACUAAUUAGACAGAUAAAUUACAAAAAGAGUUGGAAUUUUCAAUUCCUUACACAUUCAUUUUAUUUUUAUAAUUGGUUAUUUCUUCUUGAUUGACUUCUCUUAUUAUCCAUUUAUUCUAAUAUUUUAAGGACAUUUUUAGAUAAAUACCUUUGUUGAAUGCUUAUUUAAUGUGCCCUGCAUCAAUUCUUAGUGUUUUGUGUUUCUCUUACUACAUUUCAAGUCAUUAUCCAAAAACUGGAGAGUGCAUUUUGCCCAAGCAUAUAACUGUGUCAGUUAUUUGGAUAGUUGUUAUUACAUUUAACCUAUCUUAUGCUAAUACUUUGAGCUGCAAUGUACCCUGGCAACUGCUGCUGUUCCUACUUCCAACUCUUCCUAAUCUGUUAAAUUCACUCAUUUGUGCACUUUCAUCUGAUUGCUGCUCUUCCUAAUCUGUUAAAAUCCACCAUUUUGUACACUUUUUUUCAGCUUACAAUUCUAUUAGGGUUGCUUUGUCAGUGUUAGUUUAUGAUCCUUAAAUAAUUUCUGAAGUGUAAAGAAAAUAUGAACUUAAUUCAUGACCGAUUAGAUAACUAAUAGAUGAAAAUUUUUGUAGUUCAAUCUAGAACUUCUUGUUUAUGGUGUCCUGCUUCACAAGUAUUUUUUUAGGCUCUGUGUGAUUGUCCUGAGUUAUUAUUAGGUGAUAUCAUGCUUGGUGGAGUUCAGGACUAUCAUUGCUUUUCUUAGCUGGGUGAAAUUUCUGACAACGCCGUAAAUGUGCCAACCUAAUGCGAGCAGGAUCUCAAGCUCAGCUCAAUGAUUUGAAUCAUUGUUGAGCUGAAUUCAAGCUUGGGCAGAGUUUAAUGUGAUCAGAUUGAGUUUGGCUCACAAGCCACAGCUAAUUUUCAGAUUACCGGCCCAUACCCUUUAAUAUCUAGUGAUGAUAUACCUUAAUAUUAUCUAGUAAUAUAAGUAAUAUACACAUGUUGAGCCUACUGUGAGGUGAGUGGAAGAUGUCUGCGAUUGGCUCAAAAGUACAAACUUUAAUAUUAUCUUUGUUCUUGGCCUAAAAAUAAGCAAGCGCAAGCGACCAAUAGACAAACCAAUGAUGAGCUGAAGUAGCCAAGAUAGUUUUACAGUCCCGGUUUUUGAGAGAGAUGAAUAGGUGCAGGAAGAAACUUAGAGUCUAGUUAGGAAAGAUUAGAAAUUAGCUAUAGCGGACCAUCAAUUCACUUUGGAUUUUGCUUUUCUAAUAUCCUGCAUCUCUUAUCACUAAAUCGCAUACAAUUUGGAAAAAAAACUACUAGCUCCUGGUAUCCAUGCUUUCAUUGGUUUCAAGCUGAUUAUGUCAAGUAAUUCAUAUAUUUAAUAAUACAUUGAUGGUAAAAGUUGUUAGAAUUGAUUCUUAUUCCCUCGUUAUUACUUAUGAUGAUUAUUCUUUUGGCCUACCAAGAGAGUUAAUUGGUUGCUUCUCAUUUUUUGGGAAUUAUCCACAGCAAUUAAUGAUAGCCAAAUCUGGAAACUAUUACAUUUUUGGCUCACAUCUUUUCAGAAACUUGGUUCUCUGUUCUCAUGUGAAAGCCUAAACUGAACUGCUAUCCUUUCUGUCCCAUCAAAAAAUCAGGGGUUGGUGUAAUUCUCUGCAUAGAGAAGGCAUUAGCACAUUCUGGGGUCUCCAGGGAAGAUGUAAAUUAUAUAAAUGCACAUGCAACAUCCACACCAGCUGGAGACAUUAAAGAAUAUCAAGCUCUUAUUCAUUGUUUUGGCCAGAAUCGUGGGGUAAUUAGACGCUUAUAAUAAUUAUUUCUUUGUGAGCUGUCUGUCUGUAAUAUUAUUUCCUUGUGAUGUUGACAAGAUCUCCAAUAUGCACAGUUAAGGGUAAACUCAACAAAAUCUAUGAUUGGUCACUUACUGGGAGCAGCUGGAGCUGUAGAAGCCAUUGCAGUUGUGCAGGUAACACCAUUUUAUCAUUUAACUUAUGCUUGCUUACAAAUUUAAAAUUAAAAUGAAAAUUAGGAUUAUAUGUAUUGUUUUGUACCUUUGCUUCGUUUUUAAAAUGAAUUUUUUGAUUGACUUCUUUAUAUAAUUAUUCCUCAGCUAGUUGUGAUUCUUUGGUUUCAUUUUUCCUUUUAUUUGUUAUUGACAUGGUUAUUGCAUUUCGCUGAUAGGCAAUAAGGACUGGGUGGAUUCAUCCAAAUAUCAACCUGGAAAACCCAGAUGCAGUAGUGGUAUGUUGGCCCUUUGUGGGCUUUUUUUUUUUUGGUUUAAACAUCUAAGUUGACAAUGAAGAUUAAUGAUAUUAUUAUUGUUCUCAGCCUUGGUAAAUGAUUGUUUUUCCUAUCUUAUCAUUAUCGGUGUGAGAUUACCUGAUGGUUCCAGGCCAUUGAUUCAGGACACGAAUGUGCUUGUGGGCCCAAAGAAAGAGAGACUAGAGGUUAAGGCAGCAUUGUCUAACUCAUUUGGAUUUGGCGGCCACAAUUCAUCAAUUAUUUUUUCUCCAUACAAGUAAAUUAGUUGUGGUGUUACCACUCCUAACUGUUGCUGUAUGAUGCUUAAGGUAUGUCUGUGAUUUGUUUCGUCUCUUUUAAAAUUAGGUAUUUGGUAAUGAGAAACCACAUAUAAUGCAAUCUGCGAUCGUUAGACCUAUACCUUCUUUGAUUCUGAUGUUCCACAUGAGGAAAUGUAAGAGCAAAAAUUGCUUGUAGUGUGGGACUUCUAUUAAGUAAUCUUGGAGAUUUAAGUAGAAUGAUAUCAUGUAAACAAUAUUGAAUGAGCAUUGACAAGCACUAUACAUCUUGCAGAGUACUAAGACGAAUUUCAUGAUAUAUGAUGUCCAGUCGAAUGCGACAUGCUAUGCUUCUUUGGUUGGACAGUAGAUCACAUAAGACUGAUGAACAGCUGUAGACUUUGGAAAGAUGGCACUAGAAAAGUUCGUCAAGUGAUCAUUGUGAAAUUACUCUUGCUGAUACUGUUAUUAGAGUUUCUAUUUAUCUAAAAUAGUCACAGCAGGGCUUGGCGUUUCUUGACAUGAGCCAUUAUGCAUGCAGCACUGGCCUUGUUGGUUUCUUGUUUCUAUGUGAAAGUAGCUAGCUGAUCGGAUUGUUCUGACAGUUAAUUGUAAUGAAUUUUUUAAGCAAGCAAUUUACCUAGGCUAGCUUAUGUAACAGCAAACAAGCCAAAAAAGUGAUUGCAUGCGAGUUUUUCUGGCUCUCAUUUUUUAAUGUACACUGAAUAAUAUCGAUUUUGGACGAGGAAAAUGUGCAACUCAAGCCUUCAAAUGGAAAUGAUCCGUGCUUGGAAUGAAAUGAGGUGUUGUUAGUAGUAUGCGACUUAUUAAGCGCGUGCCUAGGUUUGCUUCCAGAGUAUGUUGCAUUAGUUAAAAGUUUUUCUUGUUAGUAACAAGUUUUAUUGUAAAAUUUGUUUAUAGUAAUAUUUUAUAUAUGAAUAAUUUUUAUUUAAUCAUAGAAAAUUAUGAUCUCAAUUUGAGUUAGUUAUAAAUAAUAAUAAUAAUAAACUUCACAUCAUAAUAAGUUACAAUUUUUAUAGAUUUACAAUUUUUUUGAACAUAAUAAUAAUUAUUUGAAAAAUAAAUGUUAUGUUACAUUAAAAGUUAAAGAUAGAAUAAAUUAUUUUUUAAAAUUACUCUGACAAUGAUUUCUUCUUUAAAGUUGUUACUAAAUCAUUGUAUAAUAUUUAUAUAAAUUGCAUUGAGAGAAAAAUGUUAAACAUAAUGCCUUUAAGAAGGCUUUGUAUUUUUCCAAUCACAUAAGAUUAAUGUAGUACCUAUUUUAUUUCUAUACCACUUGAACUAAGAAUAAUUAUGUCAAACUAAUAAUUUUUGUAAUCACACCUUUAUUAACUUAUAACCUUUUUAUAAUAAUAAAAAUGGGUUAUUAUCAUUUCACUACUUCAAAAAUUGACAAAUAUCAAAUGACUAUAAGAAGUAUUAUCUUCUAUUAUUUUCUUAUUAUAUCUUUACAAAAAAAUAUUAUUUUACUACUUUUCCGUUACAACCAUUAGUUGAUCAGUUAGUUGACUAAUAAAAUACCAAUUUUACCCUUCAUGAUUAGAAUGCUAAAAUGAAUUAGAAAAGUAGACGGUUCUAUAAUUGGGCAAGAAGAUAACCAAGCAGGGCAUGAGCCCAAAAUCACUACUUUCAAUAAACACUCAUCUUUGGACUGGAAUUGCAACAAGUCAAAGAGUGGACAUCGCUUCCUCCCGACCUGCUGCCUACCAAUAUCCAGCGAACACACACAACCUCUCUUACUUCUUCACUUGCUCCACCUGUAUCAUAUAAACCUCAACCCUCCACAACCUGGCCCCACCUUUUUGUUCUUUUCAUUGAUCAUAAUGCUCAGAAUUGAUAAGGACAAGAAUAUAGAUGAAUUUGACAAUCUAAGACCAUGCAUUAGCAUGAUUCAAAAGCCGCAAUGAGUGGGCAAGCCAAGGCAGCGAGGGGUCACAGUCCGGAUGACAAUGGAAUUGGCAAUGUCAUCAUGCUUGGAUCAUUGAUUGUGGAAAUUUGUAUAUUCAUUGGUGGUUUUGGCUUCUUUGGUGGAAGCAAAUUGAGAGGCCAAGGUGCAAGUACACAGCAUCAAAUAGAGGGCUUGAUUACAUAUUGAGAAGUAUAGAAAUGAAUGCGUACAACAUCAUGUCCAGGAUGAGUAAUGCUAUCUAAACAAAACAAAAGGUAACAAACGAAUUAACAGUAUGCAAUUACGAAGCUUUUCGCAAUUAAAGAAUUACCCUGACAAUAAUUGAAAUAACUCUGAAUGCUUUUCAACCAUUGCACAACAGUAUUGCUUUUCAUCAUCCACAAAGUGGUUUUUAGCAAUUAACUAACCUUUUCUCUGGACAAAUUAUCGGAAUUGAAUCCUUAAGCCGAAGUUAAGGAACCGCGUCUGAGGCUAGAAUUUUUAUUAUUGAGACUACCUCACUACCAUGCUCCAGAUUAUAGAAUUUCUUUAUAAUAGAACAUGGAAAAUUACCCCAUUCAAAACUAGGCAGGGCGUAGUAAAUCUUCCAGGGAAAAAAAUAUGGAAACUCAGACAAUCCUUGGCCAAUUAUGCAAGAAUAAAAUCACACAUUAGAAACUACAUAUGCAUAAUGCAAGUACGAUUGAUGUUUUAAGGCCUGAAAACAAACGUCAAACACCCAUAGAAGCAAUCUAGAUAACGAACAUUCUGAUGGUACUACAAUGACAGAAUGAAUAUAGUUGAAACAAUUCGAAACGCCAUAUCCCAAACUGCACUGUAGUAAUAAUCAAGUACGCUUUCAACAGUCGCACAGGUUUUCUCAAUUACAGUUGGGCCAGACUUUCUAGCAUAGAGUUUACAUUCGUAAUCUGAUCUGCUCCUUGUAUUAUCCAGGAAGAAAGAAGAAGAACGUUUGCUAACUAUUAUACAGCAGACACUGAUUUUCGUAACUUGCUUUAACAACAUACUUGUCUAAUCAAUAAAUCAUACAUACAUCUUUUUGUUUUUUUUUUUUUGAUGAGAUACAUACAUCUUUCUUGAAAAAGACCCAAAAAUAAACAAAAAAUGAACACACACAGAUGAAAGAGCAAUACAAUAAUAUUUAAUAUUAUCUUCAUACGGCAAGAGCAAAAUCAGAACCGUCCCAUCUUCAUCAAGGCAUCAAUCGGGGCCUUUCACGACUCUCAUCAAGACGAGUAAGCAUGUACAAAGCAUUACUAGUAACCCUAGCCACGUUGCCGAUCUUGCGCUUCACAUCACUCUUGACCUUGCUAUCAACAUCCUCAAACCCGUCAAGACACGUGUCCUCGUCGGUCAAAGCCGAGCUGACCCACGUCUCCGCAUUACUCAUCUGCCAGCUAAAGGUGUCACCCUUCAAGUGCUUAAGCUCAUUCAGGGUCUUGCUCAGAUCCUCGACGGAGUCGGAAAUCUGCUCGACGCAGUCACUCAGCGCAAGUCGCUCUCGCUUGUUCGUGCUCUUCCCUUUGUUGACGUCGGACGAGACUUGCGACAGGUAAGCGGACACUUUGCUCGCACGAGAAAGGCUGACAUUCACAGCCGCUUGGGCUAAAUCGCGUGGGGUCUCCGCUGCGCCCUUGAAGGACGAUAGCGUGCGGAGGCACACGGCAGGGUAGCUGGCGUGUGCGCAUGAUGAACGGACCAGAUCAUGCGGCUCAUCGUGACCGUGCUUGCUUCCGGCGGCAGAGCAGGAGAGUAGCAGAAAGAGUGUGAUCAGUGAGCAAAGCCGAAGCAUUGUGUUUGUGGAAAUAUGAAAAUGCCUCGGCAAAUGAGAGAGAGAUCCGAAAAUAAGCAGCCUAGGAGUGUCACUAGUAAUAGACUAGAUCACCAAUAAAGUGUUGGCUCCACUGGAAAUGGAGUCCCUUUAAAUGGUUUGACUGGAUUUGUUCCUUAGUUCGAAUCGCAGGGAAGUCGCUUUUGUUGGGAGAACUUGUGCCUCUCGGUUUGAGCUGGGACUUCUAAUCUAAAUUAUAGUACAGAUUUAAAUAUACCUCCUACAGUUGGGGUCCUUCCCAAAAUACCUUGUGAUUAAUAUAAAAAAAAAAUAAUAAUAAUAGACUAGAUCAGCUGUUUUGAUACAAGUGGGCGUGUCCGAUAUUUUUCCAGAAAUUUAAAUCAAGUUAAGAGAUAGAAGGUGACGAAAGUAGGAGCAGUAAAUGCACCGCAGAUUAUAGGAGAGUGGCUGGUGGGCUUAGUUAAUUGUGCCUGCGAGCCUGUCCACUCAAUCAAUGCCAUUGUUUUGCACUGCUCCCGUAUUUUUUUCAAAAAUAUAAUUAAGAGUAAGAGUGUGUUCUUUCAAAAUUUCUUAAUGAGUAAGAACGUUUUUGUUCUACGGAGUGUUUUUAACUUUUAAAAACACGUUCUUGGGGAUUAGACAUAAGACACCGUUUAUCACUUCAUUUUUAAGCUAGGGAAUUACGGAGAGUUGUCUGAUGGCAGGCGAAUCUGAUUGGUCUUUGGAUCUGCAAAAGAUUUGUGAGUGUGAGAAACAAAUCUAUAUGUGCUGGCCCUGUAGUAAAUAAAUUAUUGAAUGAAUAUGAACAAAGCCAUUUGUCUACACUAAAGCAUUGGGGUUUGAUGCCCCAAUGCCAUCAAACAGGGCAUGUGCUAUAAACAGUCUUGCAGGCGGCUACCACAGCCCACACCCUGAAACAUGAAAUUAACAGCUGGGGCCUGGGAUUGGGGUGCUGGAUUUACACCGGCCAAUUUCGCUGUGCCGCAAUUAUAACGACCGAUAAUGCUAAUGUGCUACACAAGGACGGCCAAAUAAUCGGAUAUAGCCCAAAACUUCGUUCCGCCGAAUAGAGAGAGUUUCAAUUUACAUGGACCAAACACCAAACAAAUAUGAUGUGAACUCUAAUCGAUUUGAGGAUAAUAAGCUUAGUGUGAUUGAAGAAAUAACUGCAUUCUACUUAAUAAUGGCUGACUUAGACACUUAAAUUAGGUGAGGUCUAAUUCGAAAAAUUUUAAAUUUAAUUUGGGAUGCUUAAUUUUUUUUUACUAUUUACUUAAAGUACAUCUAAAGUGUCAAAAUUCAAAUUCUGUUGGUUUUCUUUAAAUUUAAAAAAAAAAAGUAGUAAUAAAUUAUUUAUUUUAAAUAUCGAAGCUAAUUGUGGCCACAUUUGUAAAAAUAUCCUUGAUUGUUAGGAUUUGAACUAAGUCUCCAAAACCACUAAAUAGUAUUAUUACCACUAAACUAUAAGUGUUUUCUUAUAUAAAAAUAUGUCUAAAUUCAUUUUAUUUAACUCUUUCUUACCUUAACUAGGUUCGGAAUACUCAGUGAAACAUCUAAUAAUGAAAUCAUAAUUUUGGUUUGAUGAGGCCAAAAGAACAUAUUACAAACCUAUAAUCUAAAGGGGCAAAUAAAUAAUAUCUUAUAAAAUAGCUAAAUUCUAAUGAAAUCCUUACUUUCUUAUAAAUUUUAUUCUACUUGUGCAAUGUCUCUUACACUAUACCAAGAUAUCAACAAUCAGAAAUCACAUAAUAACACUACAAAGAUAAUCCGGAAGUUCACAAAAUAGGCAUAUGUAUGACAAAAGAUCCUUACUAAAAUGAAUUCUUUGGUACACAACUCACAAUUUUUAUUAGAUUCACAUUAAAACGUUACACUUUCAAUAGAAAUUUUGGAUACGCACAACACAUACAUAAUUUUGAAUAAAAUUUUGUGAGCUAAUCUAAUCAUGCCACAUAACAAGCUUCGUUGACUUUACGUAUCAAGAGUUGCCCAUAAACAUCAAAUGUCAAUUGCUGUUUUUUAAGCAUCAAGAACUUGUUUAUUAGCGUGUAGAAUGUGCGAACAGUUGAUGCUUUACUAAUCAAUGACAUUAGUCUUUAUCGGUGUGAAAAAAAAAAAAAUGGGCCUAGUCUUGAAAAUCUAGCAUUAUCUUCCAUAAAACAACAAUUUUUUUUUUUUUUUUUUUUUUUGCAAAGACCACCAAGACGGUGGGGACUUAGGUGAGACCCUUACCUAUAAUAUAGAUCAUCAAAUAAUAAAGAAAUAUGGAGGGCAUAUAAACCAAAACCUCCAAGUCUAAGAAAAAUACAAGAACACAUAUCAAUACACUAAAAAAUAAAAAACAACAGCAAAACAAGAGAUAAGACCAUAACAAUAUAUAUUAUAUAUCCACUACUGUCUCAUGUAUUCAUCAUCCACAUCUCAACUUUUAUAAAUUUGAUUUUUUAUUUUUCUUCCUUUGCUUUUUUUUUUUUUUGUUCAUAUUGUUGUGCUGGUGUAAAAAAUUGUUAUGUAUUUUCCUUUUAUAAUGUUUAUUAUGUUUAAAUUUUGUUUUGAAUGAAUAAUUUAAAACUAUUCUUUGGUUUUGAUUUUUUGUUGUUUUUUAUCUACUAUAAAAAAUAUAAUGAAAAGAAUAUAAUUCAAUAAAUGAUCCUUCAUGGAGGUAUCUUCACCACUUUUGUUGACUGGGUUUGCUCCCCAGUUCGAGUCGCAGGGAAGUCGCUUUUGUUGGAAGAACCUGUGCCUCCCGGUUCGAGCGGGGACUGCUAGUCUGGGUUGUGGUACGGGCUUAAAGGUGCCUCCCACAGUUGGGGCUCUUCACAGGAUACCUCGUGAUUAUAAAAAAAAAUAUUAUUUUUAUGCUAACCUAUAUUUAGCUGCAAUUUCUAGUUGGGUGCAUUGUAUUAAAAAGGUGGCUAAUGUAAUUAAAGAUGUAUAAAAUAAACUCAUAAUGACUACAAGCCAAGAGAGGAUAGGGUUUAGACUUUAUUGUAUUAAUAUAGUGGAAUGCACUAUAUCAUACUAAAUGCAGCCUUAACUUAUUAGCUAGGACAACUUAAAUAUGCAGCCUUAACUUAUUAGCUAGGACAACUUAAAUAUGCAGCCUUAACUUAUUAGCUAGGACAACUUAAAUACCAAAUGAAUGAAAAUGUAAAGCAUUGCCAUUGGUGGUGGCACAAAAUGACAGAAGUGCUCGUGGUUGGAGGGUUAACGGCACAGGCAUAUCGUCACAAUUAGGUGGCUCGCACCCACAGGCCGCAACGGAGACCCCCCAAAACUCGACUUUUGUUGGGUUGCUUGGCUGGGAGCGGAGAAGCUCCCGUGCAAUUUUGGCUGCAAAUAUUGAAAGGUAUUUGCCGCCUCCACGUGAAGCUGAGUUGCCAUCACCGUAUUAGAUUCAGAAUUGUGAACUGUGAAGUGCGAUGUGGGGCUCCAUCGCAGCAAUCCUUGAGGCCCCCAUUCUUUAAUUUUCAUGGGCCGUACUUCAUCUAACUGUGCAAAUUUCCUGGUGGUGGGACCAUCAUUUUGACGUAUCCCAGAUUUGUUACACUCUUAAGGAAGUGACCCGACUCUCUUUCUCUGUGUCGCCGGAAAUAGGAUGGCCCCGCAUAUUUGCCCACCUUUUUCUUUAUCUUUUUCAGUUUCAGUUUCUGUUUCCUAAAAAACAUGGCCUGAUGCCCUGAUAAUUGUGUCGCCGCAAUUUACAUUUAAAACCACACAGUUGUUUUUUUUAGUGUACAAUAAUAUUAUUACGGCUUUAGUUAUUUUACUUAAUAAUAUAGGGUCCGGCUGGAUACAAUCGUGUCACAGUUAUAUUCAGCCGUUGAAUGUAUUUAAAUAGAUGGGGUCUACUAAUAUCCAAUAGCUGAUCCACAAUCAUUUGAUGAAAAUUUAACGAUUGUAAAAAUAAUAUAUUUUUCUUAUCUUAUAUUUUUACAACCGAUUUUCAUCAUACGGUUAUACAAAAAUUAUAUACUUACAUAAUAAUGCAAGAUAACAAACUCCUUUUAUUACUUAUUACAACGACUCUUACUUGCACAUAUAAACUGACGGAGACUGAUACAUUCAUGGAGGCAUACACAUUAGUGGUUGUAGUAGUUUUCUACACUUCUAUUUCCAUUUUAGCGUGGGGCUCUCUAAUAUCUCUAUUCACAUCCAGGCCCCCACUUUUUUUGCCUCAUUAACCCCCUAUUAUAUUUAUGGGUCAGGCUACAGUGUAACUGUGGUACCGUGCCACAGUUGCACCAGCCGUUGGAUCUACUCAAAUGAGUGGGAUCCACUUGAAUAAGUGGGAAUCCAACGGUUGGGUGCAACUGUGGCACGGUACCACAGUUGCACCACAGAUUUAUCCUAUAUUUAUUAUUUGUUUUCAACUUAAAAUACUAAAAAUGGCAUAAAAGAACUUUUAAUUUCCCUACGGAUUUCAACAUUAAUGAUAAUAACUUCUCUCUCUUUUAAAACCACACGGUUGUUUAGCAGAUAAUAUUGAACCAUCAAAUAGUGACAGAGAAAUUGAUUUUUUUCGUUUUAUUUUUUUAUUGUCGCUAUUGUUAUUCAAUUUAUAUAACAAUUAGUAAAUUAUAAAUGGUUAGUGGGAUACAAUACAAGAGAUGGAUUUGAUUUAUUGGACUCUAAUUAUAGGAGUUCUUUUUCUUACUUCAGACUUCAUAUCUGAUUUUGAUAUCUCAUAUAGUUUGGUUUAGAU